CAAUAGCAUUAUGUUGUAAGGCCGUAGUUCCUUCAGUGCGUGUAAGGACGGUACUGGUAGGAAGUUUUAAUUUGUUUGUUAGUGCAAGUUUUCUGAUCAAAGUGACUUGAAUUCAGUUUUGAUAAGAACAUGAAGUGAUAUCUUUGAUGUGUAAGACAACAGCUGUGUUUAUAAAGCCAUUGCAACAUAGGUGAAGUGCUGUGUAAUAUAAAACCGAUCAGACUGCUGGACUCUGCGUCUGGAAUAGUGGUUCGGGAUGAGUCAUGUGCGGUCAUGUUUGUCUAGCUUCAGCUCUUGUGGGGCUUGUGGGUGAUGGUGAACCGAUUUCAGAGGACAUUGGUGACGUCACAGACAACGCCGUCGAAGUUGAGGUAGUUGAGGGAGCUGGUAUCUCUGAAAAGGACCACUUUGACGGCGAGGCGGGCGACUUUUCCUGGCCAACAAACAACUGCGUACAGAAGCGCUGUGCCAUACUUGAUGACUUUUACAGCCCACUACUAGCGGGACAAAGACCGGCUGGAAAUAUACUCACACUGCAGACAGGGAGAAAUUGAACUUGUAACGCGACGCGGGAAUUUAUGAAGA